rnacentral:tRNA from 1 species
GCGGAAGUGGUGGAACUGGCAGACACGCAGGAUUUAGGUUCCUGUGCCUUCGGGUGUGCGGGUUCAAGUCCCGCCUUCCGCA